CUCCGGCAGUGUUUUGCAAGGCGAUUCCAGCCAUCCAAACGGUUCCCAAAAAUUCCCAAAUUAAUUGUGUAUCAUCUUUCAUAUGUUUUCUAUACUUUGGUCCGGGCGACAGAAAGUGAAGCCGAAGAAGAAACGACUCCACGCCAGCUUUAAGAACAAUUGAGGUUGAGCUGUGAUGGGCGAUGAAGUGUUGUUGCUGAGUAGAGCUUUUGUCGAACUUAAAGUAGGCUCAGAAAGGAUACAUGUCUUCAUACAUGUAUCUCAGUUAUGCAUUCCGCUGUAAACACUGAUUAUUUCAGUUACACCUUCCGUUGCAAACUCUGAUAAUGUUUUAGCCAAGCCCCUAACGAUGCAUUUUUCCUUUUAAGGAAUA